rnacentral:rRNA from 1 species
CACGUAGGGGGCAAGCGUUGUCCGGAAUCAUUGGGCGUAAAGCGCGCGUAGGCGGCCCUGUAAGUCCGUUGUGAAAGUCGAAGGCUCAACCUUCGAAAGCCGAUGGAUACUGCAGGGCUAGAGUCCGGAAGAGGCGAGUGGAAUUCCUGGUGUAGCGGUGGAAUGCGCAGAUAUCAGGAGGAACACCAAUAGCGAAGGCAGCUCGCUGGGACGGUACUGACGCUAAGGCGCGAAAGCGUGGGGAGCGAACAGG